rnacentral:sRNA from 1 species
UUUGUUUGCGGAAGUAGGAGGAAGUAGAAGUGCUGAGUAAGCCGAGACAGAGGGGGAAGACGGUGGGGCCUCCCCACCUGCCCCGCAGAAGAUGCAGUUCUUUGGCCGCCUGGUCAAUACCUUCAGUGGCGUCACCAACUUGUUCUCUAACCCAUUCCGGGUGAAGGAGGUGGCUGUGGCCCACUACACCUCGAGUGACCGAGUUCGGGAGGAAGGGCAGCUGAUUCUGUUCCAGAACACUCCCAACCGCACCUGGGACUGCGUCCUGGUCAACCCCAGGAACUCACAGAGUGGAUUCCGACCCCUGGGCUCCAGUCCCUGUGUCCUGAGCCCCAUGAGGCUGUUGCUGGUGCUGCUCAUCUGCCCAUCCUCUCCAGUAACAGCCACCUGAACACUGCAAUUCCUGGGUUUCCAUCAUUCCUUCCAGCCUGAUCACAUGCCCAGUAGUUAACUGUUAAUCGACACACUCUCUGUGGAACAACAGGCUGGUCCCGUUGAGCCAACACUCUCUGGGCACUGCCUUCACUAGACUCUGGCUG